rnacentral:rRNA from 1 species
AGAGUUUGAUCCUGGCUCAGAUUGAACGCUGGCGGCAUGCUUUACACAUGCAAGUCGAACGACAGCACGGGGGCAACUCUGGUGGCGAGUGGCGAACGGGUGAGGAAUACAUCGGAACGUGUCUUUAAGUGGGGGAUAACGCAUCGAAAGGUGUGCUAAUACCGCAUAAUCUCUGAGGAGAAAAGCAGGGGAUCGCAAGACCUUGCGCUUUUAGAGCGGCCGAUGCCUGAUUAGCUUGUUGGUAAGGUAAAAGCUUACCAAGGCUUCGAUCAGUAGCUGGUCUGAGAGGACGGCCAGCCACACUGGGACUGAGACACGGCCCAGACUCCUACGGGAGGCAGCAGUGGGGAAUUUUGGACAAUGGGGGCAACCCUGAUCCAGCCAUGCCGCGUGAGUGAAGAAGGCCUUCGGGUUGUAAAGCUCUUUCAGCCGGAACGAAACGGUUACGGUUAAUACCCGUGACUAAUGACGGUACCGGAAGAAGAAGCACCGGCUAACUACGUGCCAGCAGCCGCGGUAAU